UUUUAUAAAAUAUUUUUUUCAAACUAUACAUCAAACACACUCGGAUAAAGAUACGCUUUUCUCUUACUGUUAACAAACCCACUCUUCAUCUGACAAAAAUAGCCUCAUCUCCCCCAAAUCUUUCACGCAUCAAGGAGAUCUGUUAUAGCCUACAGUCUUUGUGCCAACAACAUGCUCCAAACUGGAACCAGUAUAUGGUUCAACCCCAACCUCCAAAAGUCUCGUUGUGUUUUCUUAUGCUCCAAACUGGAACCCGUAGAUGGUUCAACGCCAGCGAGAUCUGUUUUGGGUUUUUGACAAUUAAAAUGGCGGGACUUGGUGUUGCUUGUAGCGGUGAAGAUGGUGGUGUGAUUGGGUAUGGGUUCAAUUGAUGUUUGGGUGUGUGAUUAUGGUGUUGGGGGGAGAAGUUUAAUUGUUGUGUCAAUUGUCGUUGGUAUGCUUGUUGCUUUGUGGUGGCUGUGUUUACAGAGGUGUCGUGUGGAGGCUGAGGGGGAGGAAUGAAGAAGUAGAGGUGAGCAAAUGAAGAGGUUGGGCAUGUUGCUUGCUGGAUUUUUUCAAUUUUUCUAAUUGUGAUGGAUUAUAUUGACAAGGACGAUGAUGGAGAGGAUUGUGGAAAGGGAGAGGGAGGAGAAGCUUUGAAUUUUUAUUUUCUGAUUUCUAAUUUUACUUAACUUUUAUUUUGAUUUUUGUAUUUAAAUAAAAUAAAAGGUUUGUAAUGAAAAAUGGAUGGAAUGAGUUGACAAAAGUCAGAUGGCAAGAAUGAAAAGUAGACUAAAUGAAUGGUACGGUGAUUAUAUAUGUUUCAUGAUAAGAGGUUGCGAUUGCAUGAAUAGUGAAAUUGAAAAACAUGAGUGUGAUCAAUAUAUGACAUUUAAAAUGGAUGGAAAUUAAGGCA
rnacentral:lncRNA from 1 species